AAGCCACAGCGAUUCUCGUCCCAUAAUUGUAGCCAUGAAGGUGCGAUCAUCUGUGAAGAAGAUGUGUGAGUUUUGUCAGAUUGUUAAACGCCGUGGUCGUGUAUAUGUAAUUUGUAGUUCCAAUCCUAAGCACAAGCAACGGCAAGGCAUGUCAACAUUUGCAUAUGAAGGAUCCACGUCUGCAGAGACUAGCUCCAAGCAGCAGA
rnacentral:misc_RNA from 1 species